UACGUAGGGUGCGAGCGUUAAUCGGAAUUACUGGGCGUAAAGCGUGCGCAGGCGGUUUUUUAAGCCAGGUGUGAAAUCCCCGGGCUUAACCUGGGAAUGGCAUUUGGGACUGCAAGGCUGGAGUGUGGCAGAGGAGACUGGAAUUCCUGGUGUAGCAGUGAAAUGCGUAGAUAUCAGGAGGAAUACCGAUGGCGAAGGCAGGUCUCUGGGCUGACACUGACGCUCAUGCACGAAAGCGUGGGGAGCAAACAGG
rnacentral:rRNA from 1 species